rnacentral:rRNA from 1 species
GACGAACGCUGGCGGCGUGCCUAAUACAUGCAAGUCGAGCGAAGUUUUUCUGGUGCUUGCACUAGAAAAACUUAGCGGCGAACGGGUGAGUAACACGUAAAGAACCUGCCUCAUAGACUGGGACAACUAUUGGAAACGAUAGCUAAUACCGGAUAACAGUAUUUCUCGCAUGAGAGAUAUUUAAAAGUUGGUUAUGCUAACACUAUGAGAUGGCUUUGCGGUGCAUUAGCUAGUUGGUGGGGUAAAGGCCCACCAAGGCGACGAUGCAUAGCCGACCUGAGAGGGUGAUCGGCCACACUGGGACUGAGACACGGCCCAGACUCCUACGGGAGGCAGCAGUAGGGAAUCUUCCGCAAUGGGCGAAAGCCUGACGGAGCAACGCCGCGUGAGUGAAGAAGGAUUUCGGUUCGUAAAACUCUGUUGUUAGGGAAGAAUGGAUAUGUAGUAACUAUACAUGUAAGAGACGGUACCUAACCAGAAAGCCACGGCUAACUACGUG